rnacentral:lncRNA from 1 species
UAAUAAUCUUUAAAACUGAGAAGAUAAUUAAGAUAAUAAAUCAAACAACCAUAGUUAAAUUACAAUAAGAUUUCACUAAUUACAAGUAUAAAGAGAGAAUUCUAAUUUUUUGCUCUUCCACAGUCUCCUCCAACUCAAUGUCAUUCAACCUCGUAUAUUUAUUUACCCUUUAAAAUUGUCUCUUGCCUUGCCAAUCAUGGGUAAUCCAGUUGGUUCCUUAUUCUUGAACCUUUCCACAAUUUUGUAAUUCAUUCACUCUGUGUUCCCAUUUUACUCUCUCAUAUUUGGCGGCAAACACAUUAGUAACUACUUUACUUCCCAAAUUCUUGUUUCUUUCUUUAAACCCUUCUAUUUUUUUAUCCUUUUUUUAGAAUUCAACCAUUUUUUUGAGUCCAUUUCCUCCAUCCUUUUUGGUUUUCAUGUUCUCUAAAAUAUCCCUAAAAACUGAAAUCAACUUCAAUACUAUUGAUAAACUAUAAUGAUAUAAAGGAGUAUAUGAGAAAAUUGAAGAGAAAAUAUAACACAAACAGAGAAAAAUAGAAGAGAAGUAAUUAUGGUUUUCAUUCGUGAUAUACUACUACUAGUUUAAUAAGCCAUUUAUUUAUACCCAAUCUAAGAUUAACGUAUAUUAGUUUUCAACAAAUAUUAUGAAGUCAUGAUAUUCUUUAAUAAUUUCUUGUAGAAUAAGUUGGAAGGCGUAUGAGGAUUCCACUUAGUCACUUCAUUAACAAAAAACAUCAAUAUGGGUAAUGCACGAAGAUAAUCAACAUGAGUUGGUUCAAGAAGAAGAUGGGGAAUAAGUGUUUCAUUAUUCUUUUCUCCCUAAAUAGGCAUAGGCAUACAUCAUUCAUUUCAAAUAGUAAAAGGUCUGCAUGUUUUACAUGGUCUAUAUUAUUAUUUCACAAAAAUAAGAAGAGAAAUUUUAUGCACCGUUGGCGUCCGGCAAUGCAAGAGAAGGACGGAAAGCAGCAGACAAACAGCGAUAGGAUAAGGAAGCCGCCGCCUUGUCUUCUUCUCAUUUUUCAUUUCCCCAUAAAAACAUCUUCUUAAUUUUCUCUUUUCUCUCUUUACUACCUUUUUUUUUUUUUUUUUUUAAUUUCACACCUAAAUUUACUUGAACCUCAAAUCAUGAGUCAAUCUUUCUGUUUAUUUAGCCUCCCAACAAUUUUUUUCCUUUUAAUAAAUGUUUAAACUAUACACGAUAUAAGAACAUUUAAACUUUUC